rnacentral:rRNA from 1 species
CAGCAGCCACGGUAAAACGAAGGGUGCAAGCGUUACUCGGAAUUACUGGGCGUAAAGCGUGCGUAGGUGGUGGUUUAAGUCCGUUGUGAAAGCCCUGGGCUCAACCUGGGAAUUGCAGUGGAUACUGGGUCACUAGAGUGUGGUAGAGGAUAGUGGAAUUUCCGGUGUAGCAGUGAAAUGCGUAGAGAUCGGAAGGAACAUCUGUGGCGAAGGCGACUAUCUGGGCCAACACUGACACUGAGGCACGAAAGCGUGGGGAGCAAACAGGAUUAGAUACCCGGGUAGUCCCUGUCUCUUAUAC